AUGAAGAACGUAGCGAAAUGCGAUAAGUAAUGUGAAUUGCAGAAUUCAGUGAAUCAUCGAGUUUUUGAACGCAUAUUGCGCCCUCUGGUAUUCCGGGGGGCAUGCCUGUUCGAGCGUCAUUAAAUAACCCUCAAGCAUAGCUUGGUGUUGGGCUUUUUUACGUCCUUGACUGGGAUGGGCCUAAAAAUUAGUGGCGAUGGCUUUUUUACUUUCAAGCGUAGUAAAUCUCGUCUUGCUAAAGAGGAAAAAGAUUUUUUUUCUGCCAAAAAUUUUAACAUUUAAAGUUGACCUCGGAUCAGGUAGGAUUACCCGCUGAACUUAAGCAUAUCAAUAAGCGGAGGA
rnacentral:misc_RNA from 1 species